rnacentral:rRNA from 1 species
CCUACGGGAGGCAGCAGUGGGGAAUAUUGCACAAUGGGGGAAACCCUGAUGCAGCAACGCCGCGUGAGUGAAGAAGUAUUUCGGUAUGUAAAGCUCUAUCAGCAGGGAAGAAGAUGACGGUACCUGAGUAAGAAGCCCCGGCUAACUACGUGCCAGCAGCCGCGGUAAUACGUAGGGGGCAAGCGUUAUCCGGAUUUACUGGGUGUAAAGGGAGCGUAGACGGUGGGACAAGUCUGAAGUGAAAGGCGGGGGCUCAACCCCGGGACUGCUUUGGAAACUGCAUGACUGGAGUGCUGGAGAGGCAAGCGGAAUUCCUAGUGUAGCGGUGAAAUGCGUAGAUAUUAUGAAGAACACCAGUGGCGAAGGCGGCUUACUGGACAGUAACUGACGUUGAGGCUCGAAAGCGUGGGGAGCAAACAGGAUUAGAUACCCCAGUAGUC